rnacentral:rRNA from 1 species
ACUCCUACGGGAGGCAGCAGUGGGGAAUAUUGGACAAUGGGCGCAAGCCUGAUCCAGCAAUGCCGCGUGUGUGAAGAAGGCCUUCGGGUUGUAAAGCACUUUUAUCAGGAGCGAAACGCUGUCGGCUAAUACCCGGCGGAACUGACGGUACCUGAGGAAUAAGCACCGGCUAACUUCGUGCCAGCAGCCGCGGUAAUACGAAGGGUGCAAGCGUUAAUCGGAAUUACUGGGCGUAAAGCGUGCGUAGGCGGUCUUUUAAGUCUGCUGUGAAAUCCCCGGGCUCAACCUGGGAAUGGCAGUGGAUACUGGAAGGCUAGAGUGUGAUAGAGGAUGGUGGAAUUCCCGGUGUAGCGGUGAAAUGCGUAGAGAUCGGGAGGAACAUCAGUGGCGAAGGCGGCCAUCUGGAUCAACACUGACGCUGAGGCACGAAAGCGUGGGGAGCAAACAGGAUUAGAAACCCCAGUAGUCC